GAUGAACGCUGGCGGCGUGCCUAAUACAUGCAAGUCGAGCGAACGGACGAGAAGCUUGCUUCUCUGAUGUUAGCGGCGGACGGGUGAGUAACACGUGGAUAACCUACCUAUAAGACUGGGAUAACUUCGGGAAACCGGAGCUAAUACCGGAUAAUAUUUUGAACCGCAUGGUUCAAAAGUGAUAGACGGUCUUGCUGUCACUUAUAGAUGGAUCCGCGCUGCAUUAGCUAGUUGGUAAGUUAACGGCUUACCAAGGCAACGAUGCAUAGCCGACCUGAGAGGGUGAUCGGCCACACUAGAACUGAGAUGCGGUCCAGACUCCUACGGGAGGCAGCAGUGGGGAAUCUUCCGCAAUGGGCGAAAGCCUGACGGAGCAACGCCGCGUGAGUGAUGAAGGUCUUCGGAUCGUAAAACUCUGUUAUUAGGGAAGAACACAUGUGUAAGGAACUGUGCACAUCUUGACGGUACCUAAGCAGAAAGCCACGGCUAACUACGUG
rnacentral:rRNA from 1 species